rnacentral:lncRNA from 1 species
CUGUACGUCUUUAUUGAGAUAGAAAUGACAUACAACAAAUUGCACAUAUUUAAAUUGUACACAUUAAUGUUUUGAAGCAUGUACAAAUCCUUAACAUCAUCAACACAGUCAGGUGAACACAUCCAUAAUUCCCCCAAAUAUUCCCAGGCCCUUUUGUAAAGUAAUGCAUGCCUCCACCCACUACCUCUCCCCCUACAUUCCAGGAACCACUGGUCUGCUUUUUAUUUCAUUUCAUAUUUUUAUAGAGUUUUAUAUCAAUAAAAUUGCACAGAGCACAUUCUUUCGUUGUAGAGGGGUCUGGCUUCUUCAUUUUACACAAUGUAAUUACUUGAGAGUUUACUCGUAUGUUAUUUUUCAUCAGUUAUUGAUUCGUUUUUUCAUUUUGUAACCUUUUAUUGGCAUACAGUUGAUUUACAAGGUUGUGAUAAUUUCUGCUGUUUAGCAAAGUGAUUCGGUUACCAUAUACACAUAUCCAUUCUCUUUCAGAUUCUUUCCCCACAUAGAUUAUCACAGAAUAUUGGGUAGAGUUCUCUGUGCUAUACAGCAGGUCCCCAUUGGCCAAUUAUUCCAUACACCACAGUGUGCAUAUGCCCAUCUCAAACCUCUAGUCCAUCUGCCCCCACCUGUCCCCUUUGGUAACCAUAGUUUGUUUUCAAAGUCUGUGAGUCUGAUUCUGUUCUGAGAAUAAGUUCACUUGUAUCCUCUUUCUAGAUUUCACAUAUAAGUGACAUAAUAUGAUGUUUAUCCUUCACUGUCUACCUUCACUUGGUAUGAUAAUUUCUAGACUAUGGAGACCAAAUGCUUUGGCUCUUGGGAAGACAAUGUCACAGUGUUAUCCCAGUCUCCUGACUACUUCAAGUUUCAGAAGCAAAUCCUGCAGCUUGAGGAUCAAUGAAGACCCACAACACCCUAGGGACUGCACUGCGCUUUCUCUUCUUUCUCUAACCUCAAAUUCCAUAUUCCUCCAUAGAUGUGCUAUAUUCAUUCAUGCAAUGGCCAGAAGUCCAUGUACAAAGUAUGGCGGAUGCUUUCAGUUUUACUCUAAAGACUCCCUAGGUUAAAAACAUAUAGUUUACAUAAAACUUUGCCAAGAACUCCCAAAUAUGGCAGUUCUGUAAGAGCCUUUCAGUUUUUCUGAACUCAUGUCCCCAUGUCUUAUAAUCAUGUAAAAUGUCAAAAGGAUCUUAAAAUAUCAGCUAGUUUUAACAAACUCUUCAAAAUCAUGUUAUGUAGCUUUUUUUUUUUUAAUAAAAAGAAUGAAGAAAGAAAUCCUAACACUGUAUUAUCAAAUGGUUAGGGUAUCAUCAAAUUAACUCUGAAUAAAUUAGAUAUUUCUCUUACCUCUGUGGUUUGUGUACCGCCCCCUUCUACAAAUUAAAAAAAUAUACAUAUAUAAGUACAGACAUACAUAUAAAGUUAUUUAAAAUAUGGCAGAUUAUCUAAUAUUGUAUCCCAUUUAAGUGCUUCUCAAAGUUUUUCAGGCUUCCCAGGGUUGAUCAUUUUGUGCAAGUUUUGGAUCAAAGCCCAGAGCACUUGGUCUAUAUAAUAACAAAAAUAAUGCCCACCAUCACAAAGCAUCCAGCAAAUUCAAGUUUGUCAAAAUAGACCAAAAGCUCUCCCUGUUCACAACCCAGCCUGAGCCUCAAUCUAGUGCCACCUAGGGAGAAUUCCAAACAGAUUGCAUAAUCUAGAGCUGUUGUGCUCCAAGGGGGUCAGGGGCAGUGAACUGUGAACUGUCAGCUAUUGGAAGGGGAAAAAAACCACCUUAGAAAAUAGAGUAUGGCUCCUGACUGGCUAUGAAUCGAAGCAAUCUUACUUCCGGCUCUGUAACAGAAUUCUAUCAUCUCUAAUCCCUCAACAAACAACAAAGAUGCUCCCCAAACAUCCUGUCUUCCAAGUCAUCCUGGAAUUUAACUUUUUCCCCCUCUGUUGGCUAUUUAGUUUUCAGAUUUUUAUGGAUUUCAGAGAUUCACAAAUUGAUUUGGAAAUGUCAACAGACCUAUGAGUUUGCUUCUAUUUAUAGUGCAGUGGUGGUAGGUGGGAGGAGAAGAGGCUGAUGGGAACUUUCAGGAAGUCAAGAGAACAGAAAAACAAGUCUUCUCAGUGGCCUUAAACCCACAUGGUAGACACAUAGCUUCUACAUUCAGCCUAGUAGAUUAGAUGUGAAUCAGCCCUGAAGAAGCUGGUGUGGAUCUGGGGAGGAAAAGACUUUCUUAACUAGCAGCACACAAAGGAAUUAGAUGGUGGGAGACCAGUAUUUUAGCAAUAACUGCACAAUUUCCAAGUUAGCUUGGCUUUUUUUUUUUUUUUAAUAGUCUCAGCAACCCCACACAAUAUUCAAACAAGCAAGUGCAAACAGUCUCCCAAGUAAUUCAGGAGUGAUGCCUGGGCUCUUUAUAUAUGAAAGGAAAAGACAAAUUGAAUAACUCAGGACUGCCAAACUACCAUCCCAAACUCCAUAAUAGCUUAAUGGUCAACAAGAAAGCUACGUCAGACAAUAUUAUCACAUGAAAAAGAAAUGAGGCUAUAUUAGUCCUUAAAACAAAAGACAUUAGCCCUAAAUGGGGAAAAAGUGAGGCUGCAAAAUGUA